GACGAACGCUGGCGGCGUGCUUAACACAUGCAAGUCGAACGAUGAAGCCGGAGCUUGCUCUGGUGAAUUAGUGGCGAACGGGUGAGUAACACGUGAGUAACCUGCCCUUGACUCUGGGAUAACUGCUAGAAAUGGUAGCUAAUACCGGAUACGACCCUCGGAGGCAUCUCCAGGGGGUGGAAAGAACUUCGGUCAAGGAUGGACUCGCGGCCUAUCAGCUAGUUGGUGAGGUAACGGCUCACCAAGGCGACGACGGGUAGCCGGCCUGAGAGGGUGACGGGCCAAACUGGGACUGAAAAACGGCCCAGACUCCUACGGGAGGCAGCAGUGGGGAAUAUUGCACAAUGGGCGCAAGCCUGAUGCAGCAACGCCGCGUGAGGGAUGACGGCCUUCGGGUUGUAAACCUCUUUUAGUAGGGAAGAAGCGAAAGUGACGGUACCUGCAGAAAAAGCACCGGCUAACUACGUGCCAGCCGCCGCGGUAA
rnacentral:rRNA from 1 species